rnacentral:rRNA from 1 species
CUGGUUGAUCCUGCCAGUAGUCAUAUGCUUGUUUCAAGGACUAAGCCAUGCACGCCUCAGAAUCACUGCAUUGCAGGAAUCUGCGCAUGGCUCAUUACAUCAGACGUAAUCUGCCGCAAAUACUUUGCGGUUUACCGCAAGAUUGGAUACCUUGGCGAAACGCCAAGCUAAUACAUGAAUCUAGUGGGUGAUCUCCGUUCCAUGCCGGGGAGGCUUCGGCCGAACCGGCAGCGAGACACCUUGCGAAUGAAUGAAAGUAAAACCAAUGCCGCGGACGCGGCAGUACAACACACAGAAGUGUUGAAUCAAUUCAUUCCGUGCGAAAGCUGAAUUUUCAGCGUCUUUCGAGGAACAACUGCCCUAUCAGCCGUUGAUGGCCGUGUAGUGGACUGCCAUGGCGUUGACGGGAGCGGGGGAUUAGGGUUCGAUUCCGGAGAGGGAGCCUGAGAAAUGGCUACCACUUCUACGGAGGGCAGCAGGCGCGUAAAUUGCCCAAUGCCAAAAAACUUGGUGAGGCAGCGAAAAGAAAUAGGCCUCCUUAUCACCUCACGGUGAUUGGGAGAUUCCAAUGGGGGAUAUUUAAAUCCAUCGAAUAUCGAGUAACAAUUGGAGGAAAAGU